UCUUCAAGAUGCGAGGGGGAAGAGAGCUUGAGGCUUUUCAUUGUGAAGGACCCUCCACCCCCGUGUUCCUCCUACAGGCUCCUGAUUCACACAGCACAAGUUGAGAAACAGGGAAAUGGAAUCUUCUUGCCCAGACGGAACAUGCACGCUGGUUUGCAGAUCCCUUGCAGUGACUCUACAGCUCCCAGGAAUCUGAGGUUCACAAGGUGAAACCUACCAGGCCAAACAAUUUAAAAUUGGUUUUGUUUUGAAAAUCCAGUAAGUAUGAUGGCAAUGUCUUGCAGAAAUUCCUCUUUUAGUAUUCCAGUCUGUGGGCUCUGGCAGAAGUAAUAGUCUGCUGCAAACCGAUCACUCUUUUUUGUUUGCAAAGUCUUCAUACCAGCUGAAUCACAGCUUGCUUUUCACUUUUCGUAACACCUUGCAACAUCGCAAAAUAUUUGCUGGAGUUUGUGAAGGGCGGCUGCAGAAUUAGUAAACUGAAAGGAGGCCUUCCUUUACUCCCACCCCUGUCAGCACCUUCUGUUCUAGCAGACCGAAAGGCAGCUUGAGAACUCUGAUUGCUUCUCCAGAUUAUGACAAUUCUUGGCACCAUCGCCCGGGGCAAGAAUGGAAGCAAAGGAAACAU
rnacentral:lncRNA from 1 species